UCCGAAAUGUCGGUAUGUUGUAAAAGGAAAAAUAGGGGGUAAAAUUAGCGUCGUGGCGGUAGGUACGUAGGUCCGAAUUUUGAAGGGGGCGCUUUUGUUGUCACAGUAGACGCUUUGGGGAAGUGAGGAGCCGGGUUCCUGAUUGGUCGAAAAAUUCGGACAGUUGACCGAAAAGAGGGGUAGUAACUUACAAACAUCGAGUGAGGUAUAAGAACGAGCCAUCAGACUUCAGACGUUGUAAGGGUAUCCUGUGGGGUGGAUCGGUGUUGGACUUCAACUUCGUCUCAACUUUAACGCGAAUUUUAUUAGUAUUUUCAUUUUUUGAGCAGUUUAAUAUUCCAUCUGGUUAAAGCAAAAGUUUUACACCGAUAAAUUCAUUUUAUUCAUUUAUUUUGAGUAUCAGAGCUUUUAUCUGCCGAGGAGAGACUGUCUAUUCAUCACAGAAUUGCGGCUAAUGAAAUAGAAAAUAAAAUCGAAUUUCUACAUCUUUAGCAAAAACUCUUUUCGUUGAGUGGCUACAAAAGCUGUCAUCAUGAACGG